AGAGUUUGAUCCUGGCUCAGAUUGAACGCUGGCGGCAGGCCUAACACAUGCAAGUCGAACGGUAACAGGAAGCAGCUUGCUGCUUCGCUGACGAGUGGCGGACGGGUGAGUAAUGUCUGGGAAACUGCCUGAUGGAGGGGGAUAACUACUGGAAACGGUAGCUAAUACCGCAUAACGUCGCAAGACCAAAGAGGGGGACCUUAGGGCCUCUUGCCAUCGGAUGUGCCCAGAUGGGAUUAGCUAGUAGGUGGGGUAACGGCUCACCUAGGCGACGAUCCCUAGCUGGUCUGAGAGGAUGACCAGCCACACUGGAACUGAGACACGGUCCAGACUCCUACGGGAGGCAGCAGUGGGGAAUAUUGCACAAUGGGCGCAAGCCUGAUGCAGCCAUGCCGCGUGUAUGAAGAAGGCCUUCGGGUUGU
rnacentral:rRNA from 1 species